rfam:Triticum aestivum genome assembly, contig: Triticum_aestivum_CS42_TGACv1_scaffold_019222_1AS
CCGAUCGAUGAUGAUGAACUGGCCUCCUACAUCACCGCCGGCCUCGACAUGGAGUAUCAGCCUCUCAUCUCCGCCAACGACGCCCGCACCAAGCCCAUCAGCCUCGACGACCUCUUCGCUCAGAUGAGCAGCUUUGAUC